UGAGUUGUACAACUGAUGCCAAUGUCUUUUAAAAGAUCGACUGACUCAUGAUUUUCAUUUUGACCACCCAGCUAACGCCCGGUUCCUGAACUCUCUUACGUUUGGCAUCGAGUCUCAUGUAACCUUGAACCGCUUCAAGAUCGCCGUUGGAGGUGUUGACAGAAUCGGUGCCCUCGUAUUCACUGAACCUGGUGUCGGUUCCUACCCGCUCAUCGAAAAAGAUUACUCGCCACAAGGUAACAUCAUCAAACUCUUGAGUGACCCUGUGACUUCAGUGGCUGACCCCUCAGUCUUCAACAUCCCAAAGAAUUGCCAGGACACACCCGUCGUUGGAUAGGCUUUAAGAAAUGAAUUACCUUACGUCAGAAAUUGCCUGAUUUUCAGUUGCUUUGAAUAAACGAUUUGACCAAUUA